rnacentral:rRNA from 1 species
AUGGUCAUUAGUUUAGAUUGUGUUAAUAUUUAUGAUAUGGCCCAGAGUUGUGUUCUGUUUUUGCUCAUGCUUGCUGCUUGCAUGAUUGAACAUCUGGUGUUUUGUCUGAUCAACCAUUUGUGUGCAGUAGUAUUCAUUUUAUCCUUGAUCAUGUGCGUGUGUACAUGUACUGAAGUAGUUUUAAUUGAUAUAAAAGUUUUCAUUUAUUGCAGCAAUUUGACUUUAACUAGCCAUAGUCUACAAGGAACAUUAGGAGUAGACUAUAACUUUCCAUCUGGAAAGUGUUUUCUAUGCAGAAUUGGUUAG